rnacentral:ncRNA from 1 species
CAGAGUAGGUCUCGGCGCGUCAAGUGCCGGCAGGACGGGGAGUUGCCUGCCGGACGAAAAACCGUUAGCGGUUUGCGGUGCCGUUUCCGCAUCCCGCUGU